GCCAGGGUGGCGAAAUGGCAGACGCAGUGGACUCAAAAUCCACCGCCCCAUAAAGGCGUGGGGGUUCGACUCCCCCCCCUGGCACCA
rnacentral:tRNA from 1 species